rnacentral:rRNA from 1 species
UGGGGAAUAUUGCACAAUGGGCGCAAGCCUGAUGCAGCCAUGCCGCGUGUGUGAAGAAGGCCUUCGGGUUGUAAAGCACUUUCAGCGGGGAGGAAGGCGAUAAGGUUAAUAACCUUGUCGAUUGACGUUACCCGCAGAAGAAGCACCGGCUAACUCCGUGCCAGCAGCCGCGGUAAUACGGAGGGUGCAAGCGUUAAUCGGAAUUACUGGGCGUAAAGCGCACGCGGGCGGUCUGUCAAGUCGGAUGUGAAAUCCCCGGGCUCAACCUGGGAACUGCAUUCGAAACUGGCAGGCUAGAGUCUUGUAGAGGGGGGUAGAAUUCCAGGUGUAGCGGUGAAAUGCGUAGAGAUCUGGAGGAAUACCGGUGGCGAAGGCGGCCCCCUGGACAAAGACUGACGCUCAGGUGCGAAAGCGUGGGGAGCAAACAGG